rnacentral:rRNA from 1 species
CACGUAGGCACCAAGCGUUGUCCGGAUUUAUUGGGCGUAAAGAGCUUGUAGGCGGUUCGGUUAGUCGGGUGUGAAACCUCUGGGCUCAACUCAGAGACGCCACCCGAUACUGCUGUGACUAGAGUGCGGUAGGGGAGCGGGGAAUUCCGGGUGGAGUGGUGAAAUGCGUAGAGAUCCGGAGGAACACCAGAGGCGAAAGCGGCGCUCUGGGCUGCACCUGACGCUGAACUGCGAAAGCCAGGGGAGCGAACGGG